UAUUACCUACGGGGGGCAGCAGUGGGGGAUAUUGCACAAUGGGGGGAACCCUGAUGCAGCGACGCCGCGUGGGUGAAGAAGCGCUCCGGCGCGUAAAGCCCUGUCAGCAGGGAAGAAGAAGGACGGUACCUGACCAAGAAGCCCCGGCUAACUACGUGCCAGCAGCCGCGGUAAUACGGAGGGGGCAAGCGUUAUCCGGAUUUACUGGGUGGAAAGGUGGCGCAGACGGCGAUGCAAGCCAGGAGUGAAAGCCCGGG
rnacentral:rRNA from 1 species